rnacentral:rRNA from 1 species
CCUAUAAGACUGGGAUAACUUCGGGAAACCGGAGCUAAUGCCGGAUAACAUUUGGAACCGCAUGGUUCUAAAGUAAAAGAUGGUUUUGCUAUCACUUAUAGAUGGACCCGCGCCGUAUUAGCUAGUUGGUAAGGUAACGGCUUACCAAGGCAACGAUACGUAGCCGACCUGAGAGGGUGAUCGGCCACACUGGAACUGAGGCACGGUCCAGACUCCUACGGGAGGCAGCAGUAGGGAAUCUUCCGCAAUGGACGAAAGUCUGACGGAGCAACGCCGCGUGAGUGAUGAAGGUUUUCGGAUCGUAAAACUCUGUUAUUAGGGAAGAACAAAUGUGUAAGUAACUGUGCACAUCUUGACGGUACCUAAUCAGAAAGCCACGGCUAACUACGUGCCAGCAGCCGCGGUAAUACGUAGGUGGCAAGCGUUAUCCGGAAUUAUUGGGCGUAAAGCGCGCGUAGGCGGUUUCUUAAGUCUGAUGUGAAAGCCCACGGCUCAACCGUGGAGGGUCAUUGGAAACUGGGAAACUUGAGUACAGAAGAGGAAAGUGGAAUUCCAUGUGUAGCGGUGAAAUGCGCAGAGAUAUGGAGGAACACCAGUGGCGAAGGCGACUUUCUGGUCUGUAACUGACGCUGAUGUGCGAAAGCGUGGGGAUCAAACAGGAUUAGAUACCCUGGUAGUCCACGCCGUAAACGAUGAGUGCUAAGUGUUAGGGGGUUUCCGCCCCUUAGUGCUGCAGCUAACGCAUUAAGCACUCCGCCUGGGGAGUACGACCGCAAGGUUGAAACUCAAA